rnacentral:rRNA from 1 species
GAAUCAUCGAGUCUUUGAACGCAUAUUGCGGCUCCGGGUCACUCCCGGAGCCACGCCUGUCUGAGGGUCGGCGAACGUACUCGCAAGACCGCCUUGCUCGGAGGCUCUGACGCGUCUUGCGCCUUGGCCAGUCGCACUGCUCGGCAGACUGCGUCGGCCGUAGCGUAGUAUGUCAAAGGGUUAGCCCGUCCUUGGGCGCCGUCGCCACCGUUCGCAUCGUCGCGGGAUGUCUUUGCCCCCGCCGUCGACGACGUGGAGACGCGGCUCGCUUCAUUGCGAGACUUCGUGCUCCCGGCCGUCGCGGGCAAAAAAACUCCCGGGACGCGAUCGGAUGCGCAACGUGCGCCAGCGCCCUUGCUGCGAAAGAAAGAAAGACAGACUUUUACCACGUAAAAAGUCUUCUCUCUCACACUCCGACCUCAGAUCAGACGAGACUACCCGCUGAAUUUAAGCAUAUUAAUAAGCGGAGGAAAAGAAACUAACC